AGACAUAAUUUUCAAACUUGUCAAAGUCAAAGCAUAAAACCGACAUAACCUUACUUAUCUUCCUUAAAUUUUUACAUACCUACAUCAUGGAAUAUAUUUCACUUUCAGCAUUUAAAAAAUAUGAAAAUAUAAUUAAAGAGAUAAACAAGGAAUAUGAGAGAAAUUCAGAACUUUCUGAAGAACUUAAACAAGAACACAAUAAUAUAAUAAUCCAUAAUUUAAUAAAAAGCGGCCUUAGCCACAAGUUGUCUCAUGUUAGUGUUAAAAUAUUUACAGAUAUUCUUGACUUAUUCAAUUUGUAUGGUGAAGAUCUGACACAAAAUAUUCAUGAAUGCCUAGAGGAAGGGUGUAAAUAUUAUUUAAUAGAAAUAUAUCUAGCAGAAGAAUUACUUAACAAACUAUGUAAAAAGGACUGGUUCAUUAACCUUUCAAUUGAAAAUAAUGAUGAUUUUUAUAUUAGCAAGUCUAUAAAUCUAAAAAA
rnacentral:lncRNA from 1 species